rnacentral:rRNA from 1 species
CUAUUAUUUUUUGUUGUAAAAGUUAGUUGUUGAGGUUUACCGAAGUAUUAUGAAGAUGGUUAAUAUUAUAUUAGAUUGUUGUUAUUUAAAACUUAAAAGGUUUGGCGGUUUUACAUAUCCAGUUAGGGGAGUUUGUUAAUAUAAUUUGAUAAUCCACAUUUUAAACUUACUCUUUUUGGUAUUAUAUAUAUAUAUAUAUAUAACAGUUUAUAUAUUGCUGUCGACAGUUUAUGUUUAAAGAUGAAAAGGACUAAGUAAAUUUUUUUGUUUUUAUGUCAAGUCAUAAUGUAGCUGAUGGAAGAGGUUUAAUGGACUACUUUGGUUAAUAUUAUUUAAAUUUAUCCGGAUAGUAGAAAUUAUAUUUUGUUAGAAAGGGGGACUUAAUAGUAAAAUAAAUAAUUAGUAUGUAUUUUUGAAUAUGGUUUUGUAAAGUGU